rnacentral:tRNA from 1 species
GAAUCCCGGAGGGAGAG